UACCUGAUUGAUUCUGUCAGCGCGAUAUGCUCAAGUAAAAGAUUAAGCCAUGCAUGCUUUGAUUCAUAAAUGAAAUUGCGUACGGCUCAUUAGAGCAGAUAUCACCUUUCUCGGAAUCCUGAAAAGGAUAACUGCGGAAAUUCUGGAGCUAAUACAUGCGACUAUACUCCAACGCAAGGCGGGGUGCAAUUAUUAGAACAGACCAAACGUUUUCGGACGUUGUUUGUUGACUCUGAAUACCGUCGUUUACUGUCAGUUUCGACUGACUCUAUCCGAGAAGGGUGUCUGCCCUUUCAACUAGAUGGUAAUCUAUUGGACUACCAUGGUUGUUACGGGUAACGGAGAAUUAGGGUUCGACUCCGGAGAGGGAGCCUUAGAAACGGCUACCACGUCCAAGGAAGGCAGCAGGCGCGAAACUUAUCCACUGUUGAGUAUGAGAUAGUGACUAAAAAUAUAAAGACUCAUCCUUUUGGAUGAGUUAUUUCAAUGAGUUGAAUAUAAAUUAUUCUUCGAGUAGCAAGGAGAGGGCAAGUCUGGUGCCAGCAGCCGCGGUAAUUCCAGCUCUCCUAGUGUAUCUCGUUAUUGCUGCGGUUAAAAAGCUCGUAGUUGGAUCUAGGUUACGUGCCGCAGUUCGCAAUUUGCGUUAACUGUGGUCGUGACUUCUAAUUUGCUGGUUUGAGGUUGGGUUCGCCCUUCAACUGCCAGCAGGUUUACCUUGAAUAAAUCAGAGUGCUCAAUACAGGCGCUUGCUUGAAUAGCUCAUCAUGGAAUAAUGAAACAGGACUUCGGUUCUUUUUGUUGGUUCUAGAAUUGAUCUAAUGGUUAAGAGGGACAAACCGGGGGCAUUCGUAUCAUUACGCGAGAGGUGAAAUUCGUGGACCGUAGUGAGACGCCCAAUAGCGAAAGCAUUUGCCAAGAAUGUCUUCAUUAAUCAAGAACGAAAGUCAGAGGUUCGAAGGCGAUUAGAUACCGCCCUAGUUCUGACCGUAA
rnacentral:ncRNA from 1 species